rnacentral:lncRNA from 10 species
AGAAACUGCUCAAGUGGAGAUGAUUAGAGUCACAUGGCAUUUCUGAGCAUAUGCUCACAACACUUAACCUCACCACAAUAGCAACAGGAGGUGGCUGCAAAAUUAUUACAGUAGUAUAAUACAGUUAAUUUUAUGCAGUUAUGAUUUAAUACUGUAUCUUUACAUUUGUUUGCACUUCUUUCAACUGCAAAUGGCACCAUGUAUGGUUGUCUAAAUGUCUGUGUAUGUAAGUUUUGAAAUUUUAACUUUUUAUAAUAGAUUUAUGUGUAUUUUAUGGUAGUAAAUGAUACAUACAUAUCAUGCAUUAAUGACACUUAACUUUUUAAUUUUUUCACUAUUUCUAGGCUGUGAUUCGUCUGCAAGUUUUUUCAAAUUGUCACAAAUCUCAAAAAAAGUUUCAAUAUACGUAUUAAAAAAUAUCCACGUAUAAGUGGCCCUGCACAGUUCAAACCUAUUGCUGAAGGAUGGGUUGUACUUAAUUUUUAGUCACUU